rnacentral:ncRNA from 18 species
GGGGCUGUAGCUCAGUUGGGAGAGCACCUGCUUUGCAAGCAGGGGGUCAUCGGUUCGAGACCGGUCAGCUCCA